rnacentral:rRNA from 1 species
CAGUCGCCGCGGGAAUACGAAGGGGGCUAGCGUUGCUCGGAAUGACUGGGCGUAAAGGGCUCGCAGGCGGUUUCUUAAGUCUGAUGUGAAAGCCCCCGGCUCAACCGGGGAGGGUCAUUGGAAACUGGGAAACUUGAGUGCAGAAGAGGAGAGUGGAAUUCCACGUGUAGCGGUGAAAUGCGUAGAGAUGUGGAGGAACACCAGUGGCGAAGGCGACUCUCUAGUCUGUAACUGACGCUGAGGAGCGAAAGCGUGGGGAGCGAACAGGAUUAGAUACCCCCGUAGUCCCUGUCUCUUAUAC